rnacentral:misc_RNA from 1 species
UCCGGUUUGUCACCGGCAGUCUCAUUAGAGUGCUCUUGCGUAGCAACUAAUGACAAGGGUUGCGCUCGUUGCGGGACUUAACCCAACAUCUCACGACACGAGCUGACGACAGCCAUGCAGCACCUGUGUGCAGGUUCUCUUUCGAGCACCCCCGGAUCUCUCCAGGGUUCCUGCCAUGUCAAGGGUAGGUAAGGUUUUUCGCGUUGCAUCGAAUUAAUCCACAUCAUCCACCGCUUGUGCGGGUCCCCGUCAAUUCAUUUGAGUUUUAACCUUGCGGCCGUACUCCCCAGGCGGUCGACUUAUCGCGUUAACUGCGCCACAAAGUCCGCGAGGGACCCAACGGCUAGUCGACAUCGUUUACGGCGAGGACUAC